rnacentral:rRNA from 1 species
CCUACGGGUGGCAGCAGUGGGGAAUAUUGCACAAUGGGGGGAACCCUGAUGCAGCAACGCCGCGUGGGUGAAGAAGUACUCCGGUAUGUAAAGCCCUUUCAGCAGGGAAGAAAAUGACGGUACCUGACCAAGAAGCCCCGGCUAACUACGUGCCAGCAGCCGCGGUAAUACGUAGGGGGCAAGCGUUAUCCGGAUUUACUGGGUGUAAAGGGAGCGUAGACGGAGAGACAAGUCUGCAGGGAAAGCCCGGGGCCCAACCACGGGACUGCUUUGGAAACUGUGUUUCUGGAGUGAAGGAGGGGUAAGCGGAAUUCCGAGUGUAGCGGGGAAAUGCGUAGAUAUUAGGAGGAACACCGGUGGCGAAGGCGGCUUACUGGACUGUAACUGACGUUGAGGCUCGAAGGCGUGGGGAGCAAACAGGAUUAGAUACCCGUGUAGUC